rnacentral:lncRNA from 1 species
UCUUCUCACUCUCCAAUAGCAUGUGGAAGAGAGACCCUUAUAAAGGGGUCCAACUUCUCCUCCACUAGCGAGGUGGGACUAAACUUCCCACCACCUUGUCAUGCCACCACCUACAUGGGCCCUUGGAGAUUUUUCUGAAAUUUGUCUUAUGGGCCUAAGGCCCAUCUCUAAUUUCAACAAUCCCCCACCAGAUCUCAAGGGCACAUCGUGUUCCCUCGUUCCAAUCACUGUUUUAAUAUACCAGCAUUUCAGUGAAGACC